CGGAGGUACUCGAGUGGCGAACGGGUGAGUAACACGUGGGUGAUCUGCCCUGCACUCUGGGAUAAGCCUGGGAAACUGGGUCUAAUACCGGAUAGGACCGCACUUUAGUGUGUGUGGUGGAAAGUUUUUUCGGUGUAGGAUGAGCCCGCGGCCUAUCAGCUUGUUUGUGGGGUAAUGGCCUACCAAGGCGGCGACGGGUAGCCGGACUGAGAGGUUGGUCGGCCACAUUGGGACUGAGAUACGGCCCAG
rnacentral:rRNA from 1 species